AGGCAGGCUUGCGAUUCAGAAAAUGGAGUUCAGUCAAUGGAAUGUUCUCUCAUUUCUGAAUAGCCAUAUUGAGUUGUUUUUGAGCAUCUGCUCAACAUUCUUAGAUAGUGACCACAACCUCACCAUCGUGUCGGGUGUGGUUGUGGUUGCUUCUUCUGUUCCUGUGCUUCCUGGUGGGGAUUCCAUCUUCACCAACCUUCUGGAAAACCAAAAUCUACCAAAAGCGUCAGGGCAGAGCCAAGAGGAGAAGAAAAGGUGGAACAUCAAGUGGUUGGAGAAACUACCAGAGGGAAACAGAGGAGAAAAGGAGGCUAAUUUCUAUUCUGAAAAGGCCCCUAGGCUGGCCUCGCGAUACCACCCGCAUUCGUCAACUAUUAUGCCCAGACCCCUCCUGUGAGGCUCAGGGAAGAAUAGAAGCAGAGGCUGGAGAAAAGGCUGUGGAUGCUGGACAAUCCUGAUGAGAGGGAAAAGCAGGCAGACACCGUGGGCUGAGAGCCUGCUGCCUCACCGCUUCAAAGAUCACAAGCCACCAAGGGCACUCUUCUAGGAGAAAAAACUAACGCUCAAGUUAUGUCGUCUUACCAAGCAGGACACUCUGUAUUUGCUGUCCCAUCUGUGAGGGGAUUUGCAUGGAAACCUCCCCCAGUGCUAAUGGGAGUCGUUCUCCAACGCAGUCCUCUCUGCAUAGAGGACGGGACGGCUGCCACGGGGAUAUGAAGCUCGGGUCAUUUAAUAAAAAAAGCUCUUGGAAUUAGCACUCCCCAGGUUUCAGAGAUCCAUGUAGUGUAAUUUACUUCCACAUUUUCCUCUCAAUCUGAAGUCUGAAUGUGUUAUCUAAGCUUAGAUACAAGGUUAUCCAAGCAGUGACCUUGGUGGGAAUCUGGCUUCCCUGGGUCUUCUGGAAAAAUGGUCAUCCAAUCUUUUCUUCCUGUCCCCCCUUUAUAAGAAUACAGAAAAGCAACUACUUACAGAAAUAAAGCAAUUAUUAUAAAAAAGAAGAAUUUAUUAACAAUAUGGCUUGAAAAUGAACUGAACUAAAUUUUUCCCUCUUCGUAUGAAUUGGAUUUUUUCCUGUAAACAUGUUUAAUUAGAAACACGCAGUGAGAGCAAG
rnacentral:lncRNA from 1 species